rnacentral:rRNA from 1 species
AUUGAACGCUGGCGGCAGGCCUAACACAUGCAAGUCGAAUGGUAACAGGAAACAGCUUGCUGUUUCGCUGACGAGUGGCGGACGGGUGAGUAAUGCCUGGGAAACUGCCUGAUGGAGAGGGAUAACUACUGGAAACGGUAGCUAAUACCGCAUAACGUCGCAAGACCAAAGAGGGGGACCUUCGGGCCUCUUGCCAUCAGAUGUGCCCAGAUGGGAUUAGCUAGUAGGUGGGGUAACGGCUCACCUAGGCGACGAUCCCUAGCUGGUCUGAGAGGAUGACCAGCCACACUGGAACUGAGACACGGUCCAGACUCCUACGGGAGGCAGCAGUGGGGAAUAUUGCACAAUGGGCGCAAGCCUGAUGCAGCCAUGCCGCGUGUAUGAAGAAGGCCUUCGGGUUGUAAAGUACUUUCAGCGGGGAGGAAGGGAGUAAAGUUAAUACCUUGGCUCAUUGACGUUACCCGCAGAAGAAGCACCGGCUAACUCCGUG